rnacentral:rRNA from 1 species
GAUUAGAUACCCCACUAUGCCCAACUAUAACAUAACAAUCAAAUCACCAAUUGUUCGCCAAAUAACUACGAGUAAAAACUUAAAAUUUAAAAGACUUGACGGUACCUCAAAACAACCUAGAGGAGCCUGUCAAAUAACCGAUACUCCACGAUUAACCUAACCCCCCCUAGCCCAACAGUCUAUAUACCGCCGUCGCCAGCCUACCUUAUGAAAGAAACAAAGUAAGCUAAAUAGCCACACACUAACACGACAGGUCAAGGUGUAACCCAUGGGGGGGUCAAAGAUGGGCUACAUUUUCUACAUUACAGAAAAUACGGACAAAACUAUGAAAUAAGAAACUGAAGGCGGAUUUAGCAGUACAUUAGGAACAAAAUACCUAAUCGAAGCCAUGCAAUGAGAUGCGUACACACCGCCCGUCAUCCCUGUCAACCCAAAAUACAUCCUACAUAAACUAAACUAAGCCAUAAAACAGGGCAAGUCGUAACA